UUGAUUGGAGCAGUCACARGAAGACUGAGUUGCCCUCAAAAUCAGAGCCGGGGCAGGGGGCAGCCGAAUUGCUGCAGGUUGCCUGCUGUUUUGCUCUCUCCCUUCGCCCUGUUCUCGUUGCUCUGUUCGCUACCCGUGUGUCGGGACRCGGCCGAGCUGCGCGGUCCCUUGCUGCCUCCGUGGCUCUGCAGGGCGGCGAGGCAGGCGAGAGCCCCGCCGUCGCGAACCCGCGCCGAGGGGCAGCGGCGGAGCUUCAGGGGCUGCGGCGAUGCUUUCCCAGCUGCUCCUUCCUUUCCAGGCUGGCUCAUCCAUCUCCUGCUGCUCCAAAGACCAGAUGCCCUGAUAUUUUCCAAGGAGAUGGCAGCUUUUCACGGAGCCAGGCAGAGGUUCCUGGAGCGAGCAGAGAAGGCAGGCGGAUAAAUCGCCCGGCACCCGCCCCGUGUAGAGGAGCUUGCAGGACCACAGUCGCCGUGCCGCUGCAGGCAUGCGGYGAGGACCUGGAGGAGCAACGAGUUSCUCCUGGACUCAAAUUAAUCAGCUUUGCUGUGGCUGGAGRGCAAGAAGGCCAACCGCCGAGCCGAGGAGCRGCUCCCGCCUGCCCCAGCGGCCGCUCGGGGCAGGAACGGCGUGGGAAGAAGCCGUCCUGGUCCCUGCCACAACCUCUUUAUCGCUGCUCUGCGAGAGCCCUUCCCAGCYGCUCGGCAGUGACUGAUCGCCCCGUGCCUCCCAGGUAGGAAGCAGCCUGAUUUAAGCAGACGCCCUUUGCACGUCKCACCGUUUGGUUGGGAAGUGCAGACGAGGCAAUUUGCUCAAUGGCUCUUUUGGUGUUGGAGGAGGUCAAUGAUGAAUCAUUCCUGCGCUUUAUGAUGGUCUAUAAUAAGGCAACACAUCUGCUUAUUUUAUGGGAGUUGUAAUCUGCGGAAGGGAUCCUGAUUAGGCCGGUCAGCCGUGAUUUACCUGGGUGACAGGAUUUAUUUGUGCCUCUCGUUGCUCAGACUGCAUUCACCCUGGGGACGAGUCCCAGCCRGCAGCCGUGGGAGCAAGGAGCAAGUCCGACACCAUGGGUGCCAGCCCCUGCCACCCACCCUGCCGCACGCCGGGGCCGAGGGGCAGCCUGGGGCUCAUCCCCACUCCCUUUUCCUGCGUAAAC
rnacentral:lncRNA from 1 species